rnacentral:rRNA from 1 species
CUACACAUGCAGUCGAGCGGUAGAGAGGUGCUUGCACCUCUUGAGAGCGGCGGACGGGUGAGUAAAGCCUAGGAAUCUGCCUGGUAGUGGGGGAUAACGCUCGGAAACGGACGCUAAUACCGCAUACGUCCUACGGGAGAAAGCAGGGGACCUUCGGGCCUUGCGCUAUCAGAUGAGCCUAGGUCGGAUUAGCUAGUUGGUGAGGUAAUGGCUCACCAAGGCGACGAUCCGUAACUGGUCUGAGAGGAUGAUCAGUCACACUGGAACUGAGACACGGUCCAGACUCCUACGGGAGGCAGCAGUGGGGAAUAUUGGACAAUGGGCGAAAGCCUGAUCCAGCCAUGCCGCGUGUGUGAAGAAGGUCUUCGGAUUGUAAAGCACUUUAAGUUGGGAGGAAGGGCAUUAACCUAAUACGUUAGUGUUUUGACGUUACCGACAGAAUAAGCACCGGCUAACUCUGUGCCAGCAGCCGCGGUAAUACAGAGGGUGCAAGCGUUAAUCGGAAUUACUGGGCGUAAAGCGCGCGUAGGUGGUUAGUUAAGUUGGAUGUGAAAUCCCCGGGCCCAACCUGGGAACUGCAUUCAAAACUGACUGACUAGAGUAUGGUAGAGGGUGGUGGAAUUUCCUGUGUAGCGGUGAAAUGCGUAGAUAUAGGAAGGAACACCAGUGGCGAAGGCGACCACCUGGACUGAUACUGACACUGAGGUGCGAAAGCGUGGGGAGCAACAGGAUUAGAUACCCUGGUAGU